GAGUUUGAUCUUGGCUCAGGAUGAACGCUAGCGACAGGCUUAACACAUGCAAGUCGAGGGGCAGCGGGGUGCAGGCUUGCCUGCACCUGCCGGCGACCGGCGCACGGGUGAGUAACACGUAUGGAACCUGCCCGCCACAGGGGGAUAACCCGGGGAAACCCGGCCUAAUACCCCAUGCCGCCCGGACCGGGCAUCCGGACCGGGCGAAAGGAGGAAUCCGGUGGCGGCUGGGCAUGCGGCGCAUUAGCUUGACGGCGGGGUAACGGCCCACCGUGGCGACGAUGCGUAGGGGUUCUGAGAGGAAGGCCCCCCACACUGGAACUGAGACACGGUCCAGACUCCUACGGGAGGCAGCAGUGAGGAAUAUUGGUCAAUGGGCGGAAGCCUGAACCAGCCAAGUCGCGUGAGGGAAUAAGGCCCUACGGGUCGUAAACCUCUUUUGCCGGGGAGCAAGGGCCGGGACGAGUCCCGGCCCGGAGAGUACCCGGAGAAAAAGCAUCGGCUAACUCCGUGCCAGCCGCCGCAGUAAG
rnacentral:rRNA from 1 species